rnacentral:rRNA from 1 species
GACGAACGCUGGCGGCGCGCCUAACACAUGCAAGUCGAACGAGCGAGAGAGAGCUUGCUUUCUCAAGCGAGUGGCGAACGGGUGAGUAACGCGUGAGGAACCUGCCUCAAAGAGGGGGACAACAGUUGGAAACGACUGCUAAUACCGCAUAAGCCCACAGCUCGGCAUCGAGCAGAGGGAAAAGGAGUGAUCCGCUUUGAGAUGGCCUCGCGUCCGAUUAGCUAGUUGGUGAGAUAACAGCCCACCAAGGCGACGAUCAGUAGCCGACCUGAGAGGGUGAUCGGCCACAUUGGGACUGAGACACGGCCCAA